rnacentral:rRNA from 1 species
AGAGUUUGAUCCUGGCUCAGGAUGAACGCUGGCGGCGUGCCUUAGGCAUGCAAGUCGAACGGUUUCCGUAAGGAAGCAGUGGCAGACGGGUGAGUAACGCGUAGGAAUCUACCUCUGGGAGGACCAUAGCUCAUCGAAAGAUGGGGUAAUAGUCCAUAAUAUCGAAAGAUUAAAGGUCUUAACUGGCCGCCGAGAGAGGAGCCUGCGUCCUAUCAGCUUGUAGGCGGGGUAAAUGCCCACCAAGGCGAUGACGGGUAGCUGGACUGAGAGGUCGAUCAGCCACAACUGCACUGAGACACGGGCAGUACACCUACGGGUGGCAGCAACCAGGAAUAUUGGGCAAUGGACGCAAGUCUGACCCAGCGACGCCGCGUGGAGGAAGACGGCCUUAGGGUUGUAAACUCCUUUUGAUAGACCCUUCACGGUCUAUAGAAUAAGCCUCUACUAACUACGUGCCAGAAGUCUCGGUAAUACGUAGGAGGCAAGCGUUAUCCGGAUUCAUUGGGCGUAAAGUGUGCGUAGGCGGUUUGAUGUGUCUUCUCUUAAAGACCGAAGCUUAACUUCGGGAAUGGGGAAGAAACUAUCAAACUUGAGGAUUAUCAGGGAUACUGGAACAGUUAGUGUAGCAGUGAAAUGCGUUGAUAUUAACUGGAACACCAAGGGCGAAGGCAAGUAUCUGGGAUUUUCCUGACGCUGAGGCACGACAGCUAGGGUAGCGAAACGGAUUAGAUACCCGUGUAGUCCUAGCCGUAAACGAUGCUCGCUAGCUCUUUUCGAUUUAUCGGAAGGGGUGUAAGCUAACGCGUUAAGCGAGCCGCCUGGGGACUACGGCCGCAAGGCUAAAACUCAAAGGAAUUGACGG